UCCCUGGUGGUCCAGUGGUUAAGACUCCAUGCUCUCACUGAUGAGGACCCAGGUUCAACCCCUGGUCAGGGAA
rfam:TPA: Bos taurus chromosome 20, whole genome shotgun sequence.